rnacentral:rRNA from 1 species
UAACGCGUGAGGAAUCUGCCUCGAAGAGGGGGACAACAGUUGGAAACGACUGCUAAUACCGCAUAAGCCCACGGUGCCGCAUGGCACAGAGGGAAAAGGAGUAAUCCGCUUUGAGAUGGCCUCGCGUCCGAUUAGCUAGUUGGUGAGGUAACGGCCCACCAAGGCGACGAUCGGUAGCCGGACUGAGAGGUUGAACGGCCACAUUGGGACUGAGACACGGCCCAGACUCCUACGGGAGGCAGCAGUGGGGAAUAUUGCACAAUGGGGGAAACCCUGAUGCAGCGACGCCGCGUGGAGGAAGAAGGUCUUCGGAUUGUAAACUCCUGUUGUUGGGGAAGAUAAUGACGGUACCCAACAAGGAAGUGACGGCUAACUACGUGCCAGCAGCCGCGGUAAAACGUAGGUCACGAGCGUUGUCCGGAAUUACUGGGUGUAAAGGGAGCGCAGGCGGGAAGACAAGUUGGAAGUGAAAUCUGUGGGCUCAACCCAUAAACUGCUUUCAAAACUGUUUUUCUUGAGUAGUGCAGAGGUAGGCGGAAUUCCCGGUGUAGCGGUGGAAUGCGUAGAUAUCGGGAGGAACACCAGUGGCGAAGGCGGCCUACUGGGCACCAACUGACGCUGAGGCUCGAAAGUGUGGGUAGCAAACAGGAUUAGAUACCCUGGUAGUCCACACCGUAAACGAUGAUUACUAGGUG